AGAGCCUGUUGUGAGUUGGCUGUUCACUGCCCAGAGAGUUUCUGAAAAAUUCGAGGUGAUUCUAAUCGGUAGAUGAUUCUGUGUAGAUUAUUUGGGCGUUUUUCUUCUGAUUCUAGAGACUCUCCCCAUAGAGUUCCACCAAAGGAAAUAGUACCGAAGCGUUCUGAACCUUGUUAUUAGAAUAAAGCAACAACUUCUGCAACUUGCAGACCUCUCUCCCGUUGUUUUGUUUUAGCUCCGUCUAAAGGUAAAUGUAUAGAUGCAAGGCAUUUUUGUCAAUGUUACGUAAAACAGACUACAAGCGGUUGAUUUCGCUGUUUAUACCUUUGGAAACAAUGCAAAUUUUCUCUGACGAUAGGAGAAUCAUCCUGAAGUGUCGUUAGCUCGCUACAGAUCAGACGGAGGAUGAAGAAACUUCUGCUGGCAAAAUAAAAUCGAGAGGGGAGCAGAAAGCCUACCGAAGAGCUCCAGGAAAGGGGACAACUAAUACUGGAGGAUUUCAAAAUACCAGCUCCCUUUGGAAAAUACCUGCCAGUUUGGGAAAAGAGGUUGCGUUAAUCGUUUAUGUCUACAUUGUAAACAAACAUCGGUUUUAUAUGUGACUUUCGCUUUACAAAUGACUUGUCGGGCAACUUUGCCACCAUCGGAAUGGUGUUGUGAGCCCACUUUUACCAGGCGUUCAGGAGCUGCGGAUUCGCCAGUUAUCUCCCUCAUGUGCCUGGGCUACACUAAUGUUACAUUUGCUUUCGUGUUAGGACAGCACACAAUGGAAAUCUAAACAGGUAAUGUAGGUGGUAGGUUCCUGCUUCACAGGAAGUUCAAUUUCCCAAGCGUUUGACUUCAGCGCCCGUCUUAUUCUAUAGUUUUUAGGCUCUGUACGCGAAUCUCGUUUUUUUUCCCAUAGCCUUUAGGGGUCCUUUGGUUUACCUAUAGCUUCUAAACCAAUGUCACUACGGCUUAGGUCCCAAGAUUAGAGAGAAGGAAACUCCUCUACCCUCGCUGGAAAGAGGAUUUUUAAUCAAGACGCGCGUUGAAGUACACUUGAGAAUUAUUCCAAGCUGGAAAAAAGUAUUACCUUGGUUGUAUGUAAUAAAUGGAUCUGCACCUAUAUAAUACAUGAGGCUGCCCUUAGAAUACCUUCUUACACGUGCCUGGAGGCGAUCCACCCCAAACACCAUAACCUCAGCAACGGGCGCCUUAGUCCCGUGGGAAGAUAAACGAGUGCCCCUCUGUCCUCGGGCUCUCCCGAAUUAAGGACUGGCAGACGAUGCUUCGGGUAGAGUCACUCCGCUGCUCUGCAUUGGUGGCGACCCUGGGAGCGGAGGGCAUGAAAGGACAGAGCCCAUCCUGCCGGAAGCAGGCAGGCACAAUAUAAUUGUACAGUGCUGAGCCCUAACGUGUAAUCGCCUAAUAAUGUAUGUGCCACCUUGACAUUCUUAUCGAAAGCAUCAAACUGAUAUUUUCCCCCUUGGCUUUCACCGCAGGGACCUUUAUAAACCCCCUUCAUCAGUGGGAUGAAAUUAAGCCUGCAUUGAUGGUAGUCCCUUGAAACUCGAUAUUUAAAGGCAAUAGAUCUGAAUUAGCAAAUUAUAAUUGAAGUAGUGAGGUCCCACUAAGUUGACUAGGUAGCAUUUUACAUUUGCUCCUCACAGGGAAUAACCACAUGUUUGGGUCCUGAAAAUAACUUAACCUGAAGGUGCAAGCAAUUAUUGAGCUGAUCCUAGCAUGCCAGGACCUCCCCUCCUUCCUUCCUUCCUUCCCUCCCUUUCUCCCCUUCCCCCCAAGUUGUUGCAAACUGCUGUGUGGCAUUAGACUUUAUAAUCUGUUUUAAAUGAUUCGAUACAAAACAAGCGUCUGUUCUGAGGAGCUUGAAAAAGACACGUAAUCGAGGGAAAUGAGGUGUCGAUCUUAGACAUUAGAAUGUCUGAAGGAAUUUUGCUUCAACUCAGGUCCCUUUCUGUAUCUGAGGUGCUUGGAAUAAGCUGUGUUUACUUGUCCGGUGUCCUUUCUUCACCCUGAAGGAAUAGUCCCUUAUGUUCUUGUUGCACCUCACUGGGAACUGGAGGUUAGCUUGAUCUAAAACAACUAUACGGGGUUGUUUUUUUGAGAGAGAGAGAGAGAAAAAUAUCAGAAAUUGGUGCCAACACAAUCAGUACAUACAUUGCUCUCAAUCAGUUUUUUCCCCCAAACGUGCAGAAGCAAUUAGCAAUGUAUUUCCAGAGCAAAACACAUUUCCCUGUAUGUCUCAUUAUUAUCCAUGGAUUUUUUAAAAAAUAUAGCAGCAGUUGUGAAUGUCAAUAGCACUUAUCGUUAGAAACACCUCGGUCAUUCAAGUCUCUUGGCUUCCAAUGUCCUAAUGAUUGCCGCCUCUUAUCAGCUGUUCCGCAAAACCCCCCUUCUUCUUAUUGUUUCUUUGAAUUAAUGCACUAAUGUCACCUUUUGGCAUCUAUUGGAAUGGCUUUGAAUUGCCAAGAUAAAAAGACCUAGGCUCUGGGAAAUGUCUUCGCUACAUCCCAUUUUGGUCCUGGAAUGCAGCCCGGGGAGCUUAAAAUGUAAUAUUUUAAUUCCGUUACAGUAGGACAAAUUCUUAUUGAGAGAGGCAGGUUCAAGAGCGCUCUCUUUCUCUUGAUCAGUGUCAGGUUGUUCAGAGCACAGUAAAACAUUUUGUGCUGUAUCAAAAGACGGUCCCCCCCCAUGCAGUAUCGAAUAUAAUAUAGGGCUGCUAAACAGAAACUUCUUUGUCUAGAAGACGUUAUUUGGGACAGAGAAACACGGUUACAAUGGACUGCUUUAAAAAAAUUGUGAAUGUAUUUUAUUUAUUCGGAGUCGAUUUAAAUUCUACACGGAGAUUAAAAAAAGACUAACGAGAAGGACCAUCUUCAUCAGUCUAGUUUGUUUGCUGCUCUUUUGCCGCAGAGGGUGU